rnacentral:rRNA from 1 species
AUACGGAAGGUCCGGGCGUUAUCCGGAUUUAUUGGGUUUAAAGGGAGCGCAGGCGGAGAUGCAAGCGUGACGUCAAAUUUCGGGGCUCAACCCCGUCUCGCGUCGCGAACUGCGUCCCUUGGUUGCGGGAAGGGGAGGCGGAACUCGUGGUGUAGCGGUGAAAUGCAUAGAUAUCACGAAGAACUCCGAUCGCGAUGGCAGCCUUCCGGCCCGUCAACGACGCUCAUGCUCGAAGGUGCGGGUAUCAAACAGGAUUAGAUACCCUGGUAGUCCGCACAGUAAACGAUGGACACCCGCGGUUUGGCCUGUAUGGCUGAGCCGCCAAGCGAAAGCGUUAAGUGUCCCACCUGGGGAGUACGCCGGCAACGGUGAAACUCAAAGGAAUUGACGGGG